AACGUAGGAGGCGAGCGUUAUCCGGAGUUACUGGGCGUAAAGCGCGUGUAGGCGGCUUGUUACGUCUGCUGUGAAAGCGCCCGGCUUAACCGGGACGAUGCGGUAGAUACGGGCAAGCUUGAGGGUGGCAGAGGAGCGUAGAAUUCCGGGUGUAGUGGUGAAAUGCGUAGAGAUCCGGAGGAAUACCAGUGGCGCAGGCGGCGCUCUGGGUCGGGCCUGACGCUGAGACGCGAAGGCGUGGGGAGCGAACGGG
rnacentral:rRNA from 1 species